rnacentral:rRNA from 1 species
CCUACGGGAGGCAGCAGUGAGGAAUAUUGGUCAAUGGCCGCGAGGCUGAACCAGCCAAGCAGCGUGAAGGACGAAGGUGCCAAGCGUUGUAAACUUCUUUUGUCAGGGGACAAAAUCAGGCUCGAGAGCCUGACCGAAGGUACUUGAAGAAAAAGCAUCGGCUAACUCCGUGCCAGCAGCCGCGGUAAUACGGAGGAUGCGGGCGUUAUCCGGAUUUAUUGGGUUUAAAGGGUGCGUAGGCGGACUGUUAAGUCAGCGGGAAAAGCCCGGGGCUCAACCCCGGCGAGCCGUGGAAACUGGCUGUCUUGAGAGGGCGAGAGGUAUGCGGAAUGCGUAGUGUAGCGGUGAAAUGCAUAGAUAUGGCGCAGAACUCCGAUUGCGAAGGCAGCAUACCGGCGGCGAUCUGACGCUGAGGCACGAAAGCGUGGGUAUCGAACAGGAUUAGAUACCCGGGUAGUC